rnacentral:rRNA from 1 species
CGAAGGACCCAAGCGUUAUCCGGAUUUAUUGGGUUUAAAGGGUGCGUAGGCGGGUUAUUAAGUCAGUGGUGAAAGCUCCGAGCCCAACUCGGAAACUGCCAUUGAUACUGAUGAUCUUGAGUACAUUUGAGGUGGGCGGAAUGUGUCAUGUAGCGGUGAAAUGCUUAGAGAUGACACAGAACACCGAUUGCGAAGGCAGCUCACUAAACUGUAACUGACGCUGAGGCACGAAAGCGUGGGGAGCAAACAGGAUUAGAUACCCUGGUAGUCCACGCCCUAAACGAUGAUCACUCGAUGUGUGCGAUACACUGUACGCGUCCGAGCGAAAGCAUUAAGUGAUCCACCUGGGGAGUACGGCCGCAAGGCUG